AUGAAUGUUGGAUGAUCCUUAGCCCUUGAUAGAGAUCAGAUACAGAGUUAUGGCAUGAGAUAGCCAUACCAGGUCGCCCCUGGAUAGGCCAGGUCGCUCCUGGUACUAUGGACAGAGCAGAGUUAAGAGUAGACCAGGUGAUGACAUAGUCUCCUUGGCACAGUUGGUCAUGUUAUGAUAUCAGAGAUAAGAGUAGACCAGGUGAUGACAUAGUCUCCUUGGCACAGUUGGUC
rnacentral:lncRNA from 1 species